rnacentral:misc_RNA from 1 species
AAAGUCGUAACAAGGUUUCCGUAGGUGAACCUGCGGAAGGAUCAUUGGGAAGAGAGUGGGGGAGAAGAGAGUUGGAAUGGGGAGAGCAAAUUAUUACAUUAUCUACAAUCAAACACACACAACUGCUGACAAUGGAUCUCUGGGCUCUU